CCUACGGGUGGCAGCAGUGGGGAAUAUUGGACAAUGGGCGCAAGCCUGAUCCAGCAAUGCCGCGUGAGUGAUGAAGGCCUUAGGGUUGUAAAGCUCUUUCGCCCGCGACGAUGAUGACGGUAGCGGGAGAAGAAGCCCCGGCUAACUCCGUGCCAGCAGCCGCGGUAAUACGGAGGGGGCUAGCGUUGUUCGGAAUUACUGGGCGUAAAGGGCGCGUAGGCGGCUUGUCGAGUCCGAUGUGAAAGGCCUGGGCUUAACCUGGGAAUGGCAUUGGAUACUGGCAGGCUUGAGACCGGGAGAGGGCAGUGGAAUUCCCAGUGUAGAGGUGAAAUUCGUAGAUAUUGGGAAGAACACCGGUGGCGAAGGCGGCUGCCUGGCCCGGUUCUGACGCUGAGGCGCGAAAGCGUGGGGAGCAAACAGGAUUAGAUACCCUGGUAGUC
rnacentral:rRNA from 1 species